CCGGCACGGGUGAGUAACACGUAUGCAACCCACCUGUAACAGGGGGAUAACCCGGAGAAAUCCGGACUAAUACCCCAUAAUAUGGGCGCUCCGCAUGGAGAGUUCAUUAAAGAGAGCAAUUUUGGUUACAGACGAGCAUGCGCUCCAUUAGCCAGUUGGCGGGGUAACGGCCCACCAAGGCGACGAUGGAUAGGGGUUCUGAGAGGAAGGUCCCCCACAUUGGAACUGAGACACGGUCCAA
rnacentral:rRNA from 1 species